GAUAAGAUGACUGAAAUUUUAAGUGAUAAAUUGUAAAUUUAUUUAUGGCAAAUAGCCUCUUAUCA
rnacentral:tRNA from 1 species